UCGAGCGGGAAGCUUUUUAGGAUUCUUCGGAUGAAUUAAAAAGUGGAGAGCGGCGGACGGGUGAGUAACGCGUGAGAAACCUGCCCUAUACAGGGGGAUAGCCAUUGGAAACGAUGAUUAAUACCCCAUAUGACCACAGUAUCGCAUGAUACAGCGGUGAAAACUCCGGUGGUAUAGGAUGGUCUCGCGUCUGAUUAGCUAGUUGGUGGGGUAACGGCCUACCAAGGCGACGAUCAGUAGCCGGCCUGAGAGGGUGACCGGCCACACUGGAACUGAGACACGGUCCAGACUCCUACGGGAGGCAGCAGUGGGGAAUAUUGCACAAUGGGCGAAAGCCUGAUGCAGCGACGCCGCGUGAACGAUGAAGGCUUUCGAGUCGUAAAGUUCUGUUCUUGGGGAAGAUAACGACGGUACCCAAGGAGAAAGCACCGGCUAAAUACGUGCCAGCAGCCGCGGUAAUACGUAUGGUGCAAGCGUUGUCCGGAAUUACUGGGCGUAAAGAGUUCGUAGGCGGUUAGAUUAGUCAGAAGUGAAAGGCUACGGCUCA
rnacentral:rRNA from 1 species